rnacentral:rRNA from 1 species
UACGGAGGGUGCAAGCGUUAAUCGGAAUUACUGGGCGUAAAGCGCACGCAGGCGGUUUGUUAAGUCAGAUGUGAAAUCCCCCGGCUCAACCUGGGAACGUCAUUGGAUACUGGCAAGCUUGAGUGCAGUAGAGGGGGGUGGAAUUCCAGGUGUAGCGGUGAAAUGCGUAGAGAUCUGGAGGAAUACCGGUGGCGAAGGCGGCUCUCUGGACUGAGACUGACGCUCAGGUGCGAAAGCGUGGGGAGCAAACAGG